GGGGAUUUAGCUAAGUGGUAAAGCGCUUGCCUAGCAAGCGCGAGGCCCUGGGUUCGGUCCCAAGCUCCA
rnacentral:tRNA from 1 species